ensembl:lncRNA
UUUGGAUUUGCACUUGGGAUUAUUUAAAGAUGGAAGGAGUGAGGACAGGACUAGGAGGCCGUCUGUCUCUCUGUCUGACUAGGAGGCUGUCUGUCUCUCUGUCUGACUAGGAGGCUGUCUGUCUCUCUGUCUGACUAGGAGGCUGUCUGUCUCUCUGUCUGACUAGGAGGCUGUCUGUCUCUCUGUCUGACUAGGAGGCUGUCUGUCUCUCUGUCUGACUAGGAGGCUGUCUGUCUCUUGGGCUGUGGUGUGUGUGUGUUGUGCUCUGACAGGGUAGACAGGCUGGUAGUGUGGUGGUAUGAGGGGUGUCUCUGUGCUGAUCUAGCCCAGCAGAGGGCACUGUCACGUGAGAUGAGCUUAACUACCUGUCAGGGUAGCAUGGUGCUGCUAGCACAAGGCUAGUUGCUGUUGUUUCAGAGUCCCGCCACUCAGCCUGACUCAGGAAAGGGUUCCGAUUGGCUCUUAGCCCGACUCAGGAAAGGGGUUCGAUUGGCUCUUAGCCCGACUCAGGAAAGUGUUCUGAUUGGCUCUCAGCCUGACUCAGGAAAGGGUUCCGAUUGGCUCUUAGCCUGACUCAGGAAAGGGUUCCGAUUGGCUCUCAGCCUGACUCAGGAAAGGGUUCCGAUUGGCUCUCAGCCUGACUCAGGAAAGGGUUUCUGAAUCUGAUUUGGUUCUUCAAAGCUGUUCAGGGAAAACCAUGCUCUGGGUGCAAGUCUCCCCUUAACACAGAUCUAUGAUCGGCUCCUCCCUACAUCCUAACCUUAAACCAUUUGGGGAGAAGGGGCCAGUGUCUGGGCAGGGCCAGGUAAAUAAAGCCCUCUGAUCAGUUAUCACCGGGUGUUAUUGUGUGCCUGUCGGAGUGGAUGGUUAGACGAGAGACAAGCCGUCUGUCUGUUGAGACGUGACGCGGCACCCAAGUGUUAAUCUCCUCUGUUUGGUGUGUCUCCCCCUACCCCUCUCUGUGUCUCUCUCUCUCUCUCUCUCUCUCUCUCUCUCUCUCUCUCUCUGUCUCUGUCUCUCUCUCUGUCUCUGUCUCCCUCUCUGUCUCUCUGUCUCUGUCUCUCUGUCUCUGUCUCUCUCUCCCUCCCUCUCUCUCUCUCUCUGUCUCUCUCUCUCUCUCUCUCCUCUCUCUCUCUCUCUCUCUGUCCCUCUCUCUCUCUCUCUCUGUCCCUC